rnacentral:rRNA from 1 species
UGGGGAAUAUUGCACAAUGGGCGCAAGCCUGAUGCAGCCAUGCCGCGGGUGUGAAGAAGGCCUUCGGGUUGUAAAGCACUUUCAGCGGGGAGGAAGGCGUUAAGGUUAAUAACCUUGGCGAUUGACGUUACCCGCAGAAGAAGCACCGGCUAACUCCGUGCCAGCAGCCGCGGUAAUACGGAGGGUGCAAGCGUUAAUCGGAAUUACUGGGCGUAAAGCGCACGCAGGCGGUCUGUCAAGUCGGAUGUGAAAUCCCCGGGCUCAACCUGGGAACUGCAUUCGAAACUGGCAGGCUAGAGGCUUGUAGAGGGGGGUAGAAUUCCAGGUGUAGCGGUGAAAUGCGUAGAGAUCUGGAGGAAUACCGGUGGCGAAGGCGGCCCCCUGGACAAAGGCUGACGCUCAGGUGCGAAAGCGUGGGGAGCAAACAGG